rnacentral:lncRNA from 1 species
GGGGAAUGCUAAUUUUUUUUUAACUGGAAGUAGAAGUGAACCAGGUAUCAGGGAAGUCUGUAGUUGCCUACCACAAACGCUGCUUAAGAAAAAUAAAUGAUAGUAAAUGUCUAACGCAAGACCAGAGAAUUUCUCCAGCUGAAUCAAAUUCACUAAGGAUAGUUCUCCAGCUGAAUUAAAUUUCUUCCAGCCGAAUCAAACUUCCUGUGGUGUCAGUCUCCCUUCUUUCCUAACCCUUCUGGCUUUAUUUCUUGGCUGCCUCUUUCAGUCAUUUGCUCUUGGGUUUAUUAGUCGAAUUCAGACUAUUUACCUUUAUUUCUAAUGGAUAACCUUUACGACAUUAUUUAUGUUCAUUGCUUAUCAAUUCUAUGAACUAAAAUUGUGGUCAAGAAGUAUUUCACUCCCUUGCCAAACCCAGCCCUGCUCAGCCCCAGAACAACCACCACUCAGGACCACGGUGCCGAAUCUCAUAACGAACUGGACAUCAAGAAGUUUCUACAUUCACUGUAAGAAUUUGAAAUGAAGAAAGAACAAUACAAGCUGCAGACCACAUAAAAAACUACUUAACAAUAUACAUACUGAUCCAUUGUGGAAUUAUUAAGGAAAAUACAUUGAAAUAGGUGGCAUUCUUGUCAAAGAUAUAUAUGGACGGCUAGAUGGAUAGAUAGGUGAAAAUCAUGUUCCAUGGAAGAAGAGUUAGCUCAGCCUGCAACUCAAACAAGUACAGAUAUUCUUCCAUGGAAUGACCAUCAUACUUGGAUUGUAAUAAAAAUGCUUUAGGCAAACUUCUCAUUUCAUCCUUGGCAUAUUAAAAAUAUGUAUGUAUGUUUAAGGCUUGAAACUUAACACUGUAUUUUAAUGUUUCAGUAAGGUAAUUCUUCUUAAAUAAAAUUGGCAUUUUUAAAAAAGCCCUCUCUCACCACUCCUAUUCAACAUAGUGUUGGAAGUUCUGGCCAGGGCAAUUAGGCAGGAGAAAGAAAUAAAGGGUAUUCAAUUAGGAAAAGAGGAAGUCAAAUU